rnacentral:sRNA from 1 species
UGCAUUCCCAUAGGGCACAUUUGUUUGGAGUCUGACUAUCGAUUACUUGAUGAGGGGUUUCAAACCUCCAACGGUAGGAGUAGUAGAGAAGAAACGUUACCACCUCUACAAAAUUAUAUGGGUGUUUUAGUUUUGAGCAUUAGAAGCAAUUCCUGAUAUCCAAGCUUGUUUGGAAGGUAGCGCCAGUCUGGACAAAUUUGCCCAAAAAUGCUGAAAUGGCAGUGUGACGAGAGGCCUAUAGGCUUCCACGUCAAUAUUGCAGGUUUGGAGAGAGAAGGCAAGUUGCGCCUAGUUGGGACCUUGAAGCCAACUGCGAAAGAGAUGUUGAUUGCAUAUUGGGCCAACAUUGAAGUCAAUAUCUCCGAAGGGCAGCAAUACGUUUCAUUAUGGAAAUUGAAGGGUCGAUCAGAAUUCAAUUCUCAACAAAGAAGGAAGAUAAUGGACCGAAAGUAGAAAAGUACAGUAAGACAAGGCGUUAAGCAGAUUUGAACCACGGAUGAAGAGGUCCAUUACUAGUUUGCUGCUGCUAAGGCUCUCGGCGCUACUAAGGCUCCUGAUUCUCCUUUUGUUACUCCUCAUGCUUCCUUUCCUCCUGCUCUUCCUACUGUUCCUUAUACUUCUCUUGAUGCUACUUCUCUUCAUGCUACUCCUGUUGAUGCUCUUCAUGUUGUUACUCUUGCUGCAAUUGUUGUGACUCCUCACACUGCUCUUCCUUUUGCUUCUGCUGUUGCCCUUCAUGCUUAGGUGCGAACACAAUGGAAGAAAAACCUACAGUCAAUGUGGACGGAAAUGCAGAUGGACAUGUAAAUGUAGAUGCAGUCAUUGCGGAUGAAGGUUGAGCGAGACAUGCAGAUGCGUAUGCAUGCAAUGCAGUUAGAGAUCUAGCAAGCAAUACAGUUGGAGAUCCAACAAGUGAUGUAGCUGCAAAUAUAGUCACUGCAUCUAGAUAUCCAGCAGUCACUACAAGGGCUGAAGAAUCAUAUUGUCAGUCGAUUGAUCAACCGUUAUGAGAGUUGAUUGAUGGGUGAAGAUGAUGGUGUAAGCAACAAAAGGGCAAUGGUACUAGGGUUGAUCUUGAUGAGACAGGUGGCAUAAAUCAAUCAAUUGCAUCAGCUCUAAGCUCACCUCUCACUUUCUAGAUCCUGCUCCUAUCCUACCUCCAUUAGAGGUCCCCCAACAUUGUCAGCGCACAUCUUCUCUUGAGGCUCCACCUUCACCUCAAGUCGAAAAGGCACUCAUCUUACUAGUAGUCCAACUACAACUUCCUCACGUCUUGCUCAUGUCCCAACUCCACUAGACACCCCCCAAGAUGGUGAGAUCACACCUUCUCCGGAGGCUCCAUCUCCACCUUAGGUCGAAGAUGCACGUGUGAGCGUAGCUAGCAAAUACCUUCGAAACCCAUACGUUAACCCGCUAUUAGUCCAGUGCAGAGCGAAAGAUGAUUUGAAGGACAUAUAUGGGUCCUUCAUGAAAAAUGAGCAAGCCAGGGUUAACAUUCUGGGCAUUAAAAGACAAAAGGGCCUUGAUUUUUUUCGAUGAUUGGAGAUGCCGACUGAAUUGUUGGACAACCAACACAUUGAUGCAUGCAUCAAUGUCAUGUGUAAACGGGGGGUGUGAGCACUAUGCACAACUCUACAAGCAGAGAAUAUGCAUUGUUGAUAACUACUUCUAGGCAAGUAUAUUUUAAUGAGUUAUAAUUAUUCAAAUGUAUGGGUUGUGUAUUAGUUAAUGGCAUUUAAUAAUUGUGCCUAAUGUAAUUGAUAGCUUAUUUUACUGGGUUUGAGCAAAGAAAUGCAGCCUUCCCUGAUCAAUAAGACAUUUAAGGUGACUAAGGUGGUAUUGCCAAGACAUGUGCUUGAAUAUGCAAAGGGUGGGAGUCAUCCGUGGGGUUUGCCAUGGCACAAGGGUAACUCAAUUCUCGUAUCGUGCUUUUUCGACAGCUAUUGAGUGGUAGUGAAACAUCAACUUGCUGAAAUGGAGUAUGAUGUUAGUUAACUCAUCAUAUAAUCAGACAAAUGCAAUGAAGUCGGGCUUGCGUGAUAAAUAGAUGAGUCCACUAACAACAUUGUUUCCCAUUAUAUGCAAUCAGGCCAAGUACUUUGUCAGCUAGUGUCAUCAAAAGCUAUCUUUUACCCGGAUGAGGUAUAAGUUAAAUGUAAAAACCUAGACACAACAAGAUUCGUGCAAUUACGGGGAUUGCAUUAUCACUUCAUUGCAGUGGUUGAUCGGUUCAGAGGAUCAUACCUUGAAGGCAAAAGCCAUAAACGGCCUUCAAAAAAGUUUUGCCUUUGAGAUUUUUGCAAAUAGUGUGACUUGUUAAUUUUUUUUAAUUUAUUUAUUCCUUUUCCUAAUAUGUAAAAUAACA